GAUGAACGCUGGCGGCGUGCCUAACACAUGCAAGUCGAACGAAGCAUUUAGACGGAAAUUUUCGGAUGGAAGCCUAAAUGACUUAGUGGCGGAUGGGUGAGUAACGCGUGGGUAACCUACCUUGUACAGGGGAAUAACAGUUGGAAACGGGUGCUAAUACCGCAUAGGUUUCUUGGUCGCAUGAUCGAGAAAGGAAGACGGCCUUUGUGCUGUCGCUUAUGGAUGGACCCGCGGCGUAUUAGUUAGUUGGUGAGGUAACGGCUCACCAAGACGAUGAUACGUAGCCGACCUGAGAGGGUGAUCGGCCAC
rnacentral:rRNA from 1 species